GACGAACGCUGGCGGCGUGCUUAACACAUGCAAGUCGAACGGAAAGGCCCUGCUUUUGUGGGGUGCUCGAGUGGCGAACGGGUGAGUAACACGUGAGUAACCUGCCCUUGACUUUGGGAUAACUUCAGGAAACUGGGGCUAAUACCGGAUAGGAGCUCCUGCUGCAUGGUGGGGGGUGGAAAGUUUCGGCGGUUGGGGAUGGACGCGCGGCUUAUCAGCUUGUUGGUGGGGUAGUGGCUUACCAAGGCUUUGAUGGGUAGCCGGCCUGAGAGGGUGACCGGCCACAUUGGGACUGAGAUACGGCCCAGACUCCUACGGGAGGCAGCAGUGGGGAAUAUUGCACAAUGGGCGGAAGCCUGAUGCAGCGACGCCGCGUGCGGGAUGACGGCCUUCGGGUUGUAAACCGCUUUCGCCUGUGACGAAGCGUGAGUGACGGUAAUGGGUAAAGAAGCACCGGCUAACUACGUG
rnacentral:rRNA from 1 species